UGUGAUUCGUAUUAUUUGAGAAGAAGAAAGAUUGAAUGCUGAAAUUUGAUUGUAGUUGAGCAGAGAGAAUGAAUCUGUGUUUGUGUGAAACACUGUAAUGUGAAUGGCAGUUCUGUCUGAAGAAUUCUAGUGAUUGGAAUGAGGGUAAUUGUGUGUUGAAAGCUAUGAGGGUGCAGUAUUACAGUUGGAGAUUAUGAGGGUGAGUAUAUUGGUGAAAAUAGCAGUUAUUGGUAUGACUGAAUUG
rnacentral:lncRNA from 1 species